CUUGGUCAUUUAGAGGAAGUAAAAGUCGUAACAAGGUCUCCGUAGGUGAACCUGCGGAGGGAUCAUUACACAAAUAUGAAGGCGGGCUGGAACCUCUCGGGGUUACAGCCUUGCUGAAUUAUUCACCCUUGUCUUUUGCGUACUUCUUGUUUCCUUGGUGGGUUCGCCCACCACUAGGACAAACAUAAACCUUUUGUAAUUGCAAUCAGCGUCAGUAACAAAUUAAUAAUUACAACUUUCAACAACGGAUCUCUUGGUUCUGGCAUCGAUGAAGAACGCAGCGAAAUGCGAUAAGUAGUGUGAAUUGCAGAAUUCAGUGAAUCAUCGAAUCUUUGAACGCACAUUGCGCCCUUUGGUAUUCCAAAGGGCAUGCCUGUUCGAGCGUCAUUUGUACCCUCAAGCUUUGCUUGGUGUUGGGCGUCUUGUCUCUAGCUGCUGGAGACUCGCCUUAAAGUAAUUGGCAGCCGGCCUACUGGUUUCGGAGCGCAGCACAAGUCGCACUCUCUAUCAGCAAAGGUCUAGCAUCCAUUAAGCCUUUUUUUCAACUUU
rnacentral:rRNA from 1 species